GGGCCCGUGGCCUAGCAUGGAAAGGCGCCGGCCUGCGGAGCCGGAGAAGGCUCGCCCUCCGGAGAACCCGGGUUCAAGUCCCGGCGGGCCCGCCA
rnacentral:tRNA from 1 species